AGCGAACGCUGGCGGCAGGCCUAACACAUGCAAGUCGAACGAAGUCUUCGGACUUAGUGGCGGACGGGUGAGUAACACGUGGGAACGUGCCUUUAGGUUCGGAAUAACUCAGGGAAACUUGUGCUAAUACCGAAUGUGCCCUUCGGGGGAAAGAUUUAUCGCCUUUAGAGCGGCCCGCGUCUGAUUAGCUAGUUGGUGAGGUAAUGGCUCACCAAGGCUACGAACAGUAGCUGGUCUGAGAGGAUGACCAGCCACAUUGGGACUGAGACACGGCCCAAACUCCUACGGGAGGCAGGAGUGGGGAAUCUUGCGCAAUGGGCGAAAGCCUGACGCAGCCAUGCCGCGUGGAUGAUGAAGGUCUUAGGAUUGUAAAAUCCUUUCACCGGUGAAGAUAAUGACUGUAGCCGGAGAAGAAGCCCCGGCUAACUUCGUGCCAGCCGCCGCCGUAAUAC
rnacentral:rRNA from 1 species